AGUGAACGCUGGCGGUAGGCCUAACACAUGCAAGUCGAACGGCCGCACAGUAAGAGCUUGCUCUUACGGGUGGCGAGUGGCGGACGGGUGAGGCAUACAUCGGAAUCUACUUUUUCGUGGGGGAUUACGUAGGGACACUUACGCUAAUACCGCAUACGACCUACGGGUUAAAGCAGGAGAUCUUCGGAGUUUUCGCGAUUCAUUUAGCCGAUGUCGGAUUAGCUAGUUGGCAGGGUAAAGGCACACCAAGGCGACGAUACGUAGCUGGUCUGAGAGGAUGAUCAGCCACACUGGAACUGAGACACGGUCCAGACUCCUACGGGAGGCAGCAGUGGGGAAUAUUGGACAAAGGGCGCAAGCCUGAUGCAGCCAUACCGCGUGAGUGAAGAAGGCCUUCGGGCUGUAAGACCCUUUUAUUAGGAAAGAACAGCUGCAGAUGAAAAUCCCGCUGUUUUGACGGUACCUAAAGAAUAAGCCCCGGCUAACUUCGUG
rnacentral:rRNA from 1 species